CUUCGGGCAUACACCACCCGAGUGUGUACAAUACUAAGAGAUCGUAGACCCAAAUUUGAUACUACUUGUUGGCCUAAAAUGGAAGACGUUGGCUCAACUUGAAACAAGGCUUAAUUGCUACACACCAAAGCUAGCCAGGAGGUUAGAGACUUCCCCACUUUUAAGUUGCAGUAACCAUUCCUUAAUUUCUAUUGUGGGACUAUUCCAACAUUAAGUAGACAUUCUUAUGGGACUAUUCCAUCACUUAAGGACUGAUGAAUUCAAAUAUAUGAUUUUGGCACUAUGACAACUACUUGUUUUCUUGCACAUGGGCCAAUUGCAACACAAACAUAUGCCUUUCUCACAGAUGGUGUUUCUAGUUAACUCUACACUCCUUAAGUGAUCUUUCACCUUUUGUCUGCUUCAAAUUCUGUAUGACCUGGUUCGUCACAAUUGCUGCCUUGCUAGAAGUUGUGUUUGUCGAUCUAGCAGGCAAGUGAACUACCCCAGGUUAACAAUAUAUAUUCCCGGAUGGUGUGCUAUUGCUGAUGUGAAAUUCUUUGUCAGUUCGUUGGUGCAUUUUGUGUAAUCAGCAUCGAGCCUAAUGUUGAUCGAGCGUACAAUAACCCUCUCCUGAGGCUCAACUAUAGCUAUGAAUCAG
rnacentral:lncRNA from 1 species